GCCAGUGUGGUAUAGUGGUUUGAGCUUUGGAUUAUAACUCCAGAGUCCAGGGUUCAAAUCCCGCCUUGAACA